rnacentral:rRNA from 1 species
GAUGAACGCUGGCGGCGUGCCUAAUACAUGCAAGUCGAGCGAACAGACGAGGAGCUUGCUCCUCUGACGUUAGCGGCGGACGGGUGAGUAACACGUGGAUAACCUACCUAUAAGACUGGGAUAACUUCGGGAAACCGGAGCUAAUACCGGAUAAUAUAUUGAACCGCAUGGUUCAAUAGUGAAAGACGGUUUUGCUGUCACUUAUAGAUGGAUCCGCGCCGCAUUAGCUAGUUGGUAAGGUAACGGCUUACCAAGGCGACGAUGCGUAGCCGACCUGAGAGGGUGAUCGGCCACACUGGAACUGAGACACGGUCCAGACUCCUACGGGAGGCAGCAGUAGGGAAUCUUCCGCAAUGGGCGAAAGCCUGACGGAGCAACGCCGCGUGAGUGAUGAAGGUCUUCGGAUCGUAAAACUCUGUUAUUAGGGAAGAGCAAAUGUGUAAGUAACUAUGCACGUCUUGACGGUACCUAAUCAGAAAGCCACGGCUAACUACGUG